rnacentral:lncRNA from 1 species
UUGGACUUUUCGCAAGAUUAUAGGGAACCUCUGCAUCAUUAGUACUCUAAACAAGUGAUGAAGGUUCCAUUUAGAACAAGAUAGGGAUUCCAUACUUUGCAAUCACACAUGAGGCAAGAAAAGACCAGCUCGUUCAGACAUAUACAAGCAGGACAUAUGACAGACAACGAUUAGCUUAAGCUUAUCCAUUUGAACAGCUAUAUGCUGAAGCUGGUCCAUACCCAGUCUCGCAAAUCAACCACCAUGUUUACGUUCUGAAUUGAUAUUUACAUGCAUAGCUUACAAUUCCAACUUCUACUUAAGGAUAUUUUGAAGUUUAGAAAUCCAAGAGAACUGAUUCACACAUCUCCUGUUCACUAGCCACCGGCUUUAUUUUGGAUGCGGACAUGGUCCUCUCAGAUUUCAACCUGUUGAAUGAAUCAUCAUUUACAUGUUAGAACGGCAAAACAUUGAUCAUAUGCAAAUAUUUUGAAUAAAAGAUUAAUGUUUAACUAUGCGUGGAAGUAUGCUAUAUAUUUGUAUAUCAGCAGCAAGCAUAACACACUUAGUACUCUAUUGAUACCAAAGAAAACAAUGGUAAGGACAAAUGUGAUACCCCAUAGAUUUAAGCGAGUAUUUUUCAGAGAAAUAGAGUUCACAAGUCAAGGUAAACUAGAUUGGGUAGUGUUUGUGUCUUCCUGUCAAAUAGGAUUGUAAUUAUCUGAAACAUCUUUUGAAUAGGCUAUACCGGAACUAGGGAGCAAAUGGAGCGGGCCUAUCAGCUAAGCCUCUGGCUUGCCCCGCUUACAAAUCCUGCUUAACUAAUUGCUUCUGUCUGAAAUACACGGUGCUACUGUUUGAAGUAGAUGUGCUAGUAGCCUACUACUGCUUCAGAACGAAAUAGUAAAGUAUAGUGGCAUAUCUUGCUGUGCGAAAAUCCUUGUUACCAGUUAUUAUUAUAGUGGCAAAUUCUGAUGCCCAAGUCUGAUAAACAAGUGACAAUUGUUUAUUGAGUACUGUCUUAAUAUUUUCUACCAUGUGUUAGUAGAUAGAUUAUGUCAGACACUCGAGGGAAAUUCGGUCAAAACGAUGCAAUGAGCUAGUGAAAGCUCAGAUGGUUUUCAACACGCAGUAGAGUACAUGGUGUUGAGUAAGAUUUAUAUUCCUUUCAUUUGUGAUGAAUUUUAUACAUGAAAGAGUGUGCACUUCUAACAGUAGUGUAUUUGUUCACACACACUCACUGUCAGGGUCAUGGUUAGCGCAUACAGUGGGCGCCACAUCAUAGGAUUAGUGUGUUUUAAUAUCUAUAUGUUGCAUCUUACUGGUGGUCGAGUUUUGACUGUAACAGCUACUGUUACGUGACUUGACUCUUUCCGUUUUGCUCCAACUAGUCUGAGAUGACCUUAGAACAGAGCAAGUUAGCUUGACAUGACCUUGCAAACAGGCUGAUGAUAUUUAUUAUAACUAGCAUGUCAUGCACACAAUGAUAAAUAGCCAUGAACAAUGUAUUGCUGCUUAAUUUAAGAUGCAACAUAUCUAAAUAUGAAAAUCCAGCGUAUUUGCUUAGAGGAACAACAUUUUUAUGUAGCUCCUCCAUGACAAUUGUUGCUGGUACAAUGUUUGUUUUAUCUGGAAGGUGUCAUCAGGGGCUGAUUUGAAACUAAACCCACCCUGAUGCACUACUUUCCCAUGGCUUAAAAGUUUCAUUCCACAAUAUGAAGAUUUGCUAAACAAAUAGUGUAUUUUGGGACAAUGCUUGAUAUAACGAUGAAACAAAGGACACAAAUACAUGGUAACAACCGAGUGCCUUUUGAAAAUAUACCAAGUAACCAAUGCCUAUGAUUUUGGAAUAUACACCAUCAACUUAAAAUUGGCAAAUGGCAUUUAAAAUAGUCAAAUGAAAUUUUUAACAAGCUAAAUAUAUUCAUAUUAGCUCCUAGAACAUUCCAUCUUUUAUGGACAUGAAAUAUGCAACCACUUGAGAGGAAUAAUUGACUAACUGAAUGCAGAUUGUAUAUAGUCGCUUAAAGAGCAAUACAAUGAGUCAAUGCCAAUUACUUAGACCACUAUUGAAUUAGGAGUUGGUAAAAUCCUAAACCAUUAUAAAGUUGGCAAACUUUGGUCUUGUACCCACAUAUCAUGGAUGGAAACAAUAUUUAUCACCAAGGCAUUGGCGACUUGGGGAAUCAGAUUUGAGGCCUGGAUUGAGGGCCGACUCACAAGGGCGGCCGACUUUGAUUUCAGAAUUUAAGCAUGGCAGCAAGGAGCCAAGGGUCAGGUGGGUCAGGUGCACAAGGUGCCAGCAUCGCUGCUGAGCUCGGUGGCCGCCGCGAGGAGGCAAGGGUAGUCGCGUCGUGGAGAUGGGAACAUUGAUACAAUUAAAGGACGAUGCUACGCUGAUGCAUGACUGAAAUGGAUUUAUUUUGUUGAGCAAAAUAUGAUUGAAAUAGAUGGUGCAUACUACAUAGCAGUGAAAAGAAAUCUGGACCCUGAUGCAUGUGCAUCUGGCCGUUCCUGGGUGUCAUGAUGGCAGGAACUAAGAAGACACAUUGUAUAAAUCCCUUGUAUUUGGCUUCAUUUGGGCAUAAUUUUUUAAAUUAGUAUCAGCAACCCUUCUUUCACUUCAAUUUGACCUCGAAUGGAUGUCUGAACCCAUGGAUUCAGACGCUUCAGCGAAAAGAGAGCGAGAGAAAGAUGGAAAGGACUCCGUACCUUGUUCUCAGUACGGAGGGGGCGGUGGUGGCUGCGUGUUGGCGGCAGCCCUUUGCUUCCGUUUUCCGAUGGACUCCGCCA